rnacentral:ribozyme from 1 species
GAGGCUGAAUAUAAAAAAAUGCCAAAAAAUGUAAAUCGUGCUUUAUAUACAUAUCGUAUUCUUGAUAUUAUUGGUUCAAUUGCAAAACAAAAAAAAGAAAUUCAUAAAAUUAUUGAUGAUAUUCGUCGAGUCCAAAAACAAAAUAAUAAAAUUUCUGAUACACUCAGACGUACUGAA